CUAUAUUGUUUAGGGCGCUUCUUUACGAAGAUUGUAAUUUGAAGCCUAGUGGAUAUAUUACUGUGCACAAUUAUAUCAGCAAAUGUUAAAAAUGAGAAUACUGAUCAGCACAUUUAUCAAUGUGCCUUAAUUAAAUUUAAUACGCAAAAUUAGGACAUAUCGCUUAUAUUAUCCUUUUAGGCAUCCUGCAAUAUAUUACUUGCAAUAUUCCUUGUUCUAAUAACGACGUUAUCUCAUUGGAAUUUAAACCGGCAUUUCACACUAUGCUUUAAGAAGAAAAUUUACGAAAAUGAAAAAUCAAAACUUUAGGAGCGGAGUAUUCGAAACACUGUCUGAUACAUAUUUCAAUAGGAUUUGGAAAGCAGAUGCUCUUAGUGGUUGAUGAUAAUCGAGUCGGUCUCUAACUGUCUGAACUGUGUUUCGUUUACUAAGACGUGGAAGUGAGACUACAACGUGGUCAAUUCUUCAAGUUGAAACCGCCAAGCGCUGAGAGAAAUAUUUAAAUAGCAUUCCAUAAUUUGGAAUGAAGUUUUCUGAUGUAUGACAAAAUAUCUUAUGAAGAGAGAGCAGGAUUCUUCAAAGGUUUUAUCCGCACGCUAUUCAUCCUCUUCAAAUACCUCGAUUGUGUCACAUCACGAUACGAAGAGAAAGUUCACCUAUCUAACAUCAAGCCGCUUCACACAAGAUAUGAAAAAUAUCUCAUAAGAUUCAAAAGGUUCCUUGACGAAUAUAUGGAAUAAGAAAUUAUUACAGAUAAACAACUAAACCGGGAUAUAUAACAUUUUACUCGAUUAGUUUAUGGUGCCUAAAGAACGAAUGCAAUAUGAAACAUCAUUAAAUAUUUAUUCCAGGAGGUACAAAUAAGUUGGUCAGAGACUUGGCCAAUUCUGGCCGAUAAUUUAUCUGAAUAUCCAAGUACCAAGAUUAUAUAAGUAUAAAUAGCACAAAUAACUUUACCUGAAGCCAGUAUAUAACGUGCUUCAAAUUCAAAACAGGAAAAAAUUAUACACGUGACAAAAAAUGAUAGAUUAGUAAUUUUAAAGAUACGUGAACUAUACUUCUAAUGAUAAUGUAGCAGAUGUUUGCUAACCAAUGAUUUUGACAGAUAAAUGCUCACACAAAUGGAAUAAGCAUUGCAAAUAAACAAAUUUACAUUCCAUUAGUUUCAAUGAUCUCAACGCUGGGAAUGAUAUUCUAUUGCACAUCCGAUCUGGCACAUGGAACCUCAUUAGAGUGAAAAAAAUACAUAAAAUAAAUGAAGAGAACAGAAAAGAAAGAGCCUCGCGAUGAGGAAAGAAGUCUUAAUGUAUUUGAAUCA